rnacentral:rRNA from 1 species
CCUUGGAUUGAGGCUGCACAUGUUUUUCUUGACCCAAGGCGUUGAUGCCUUCCACGUUAAGUGGUGUAAGAGGGGGGAAAGCUCAUGGUGCCAACUUAUGGGCAUUUUUAUCCUCAGCAGAAGUGUGGUCAUUGAGGAUUGGAUUGUGUCAAAGCAGUCCGUAUGAUAUGAUUGAGGGUUGGCACUCAAUGUAUCUCUAAACCAUUUUUAAAUGGCUUAUUUACAACUUUCAGCAAUGGAUCUCUUGGUUCUCGCAUCGAUGAAGAACGCAGUGAAAUGCGAUAACUGGUGUGAAUUGCAUCCAUGUAACUCUAAUUUACGAAUAACACCAAGUGAAUCAUCGAGUCUUUGAACGCAAUUGCGCCCUCUCGGUCGCUUCCAAUUGGGGGUUGACUCAUAGGGGGUACAUCUGUUUGAGGGUCAUUUGUACCUCUCAAAGGAUUGGCUUUAGAGCUAAUUCUUUGGAUUUGGGUCUUGCUGUGGAGUUCUCUCAGCUUACCUUGAAAGCAUUAGCGAGCUUUUUCUGAGUCUUUUUUUCAGAUUGAGGCGUUCUUAACGCGUUUACGUCUCAAAAGAAAGAAAGAACAGAGUCCUAAAGCCUGCUUCUAAUGGCCUCAUUUUUUUCAAUGACCUCAAAUCAGAUGAGACUACCCGCUGAACUUAAGCAUAUCAAUAAGCGGAGGAAAAGAAACUAACAAGGAUUCCCUCAGUAACGGCGAGUGAAGAGGGAAGAGCUCAGUUUUGAAAUCUGGCAGUCAUUCACUGUCCGAGUUGUAAAUUGAAGAGAGUGUCAUCCACACUGGACCAUGUCUAAAUUGUAAUGAUCCACAGUCCUUUGAUGGAGUAUCAGAGAGGGUAAUAAUCCCGUCUUUAACGUGGACUCCCAGUGUUUAUGUGAUGCAUUCUCUCAGAGUCGAGUAGUUUGGGAAUGCUGCUCUAAUGGGAGGUAAACUCCUUCUAAAGCUAAAUAUUGGC